rnacentral:tRNA from 1 species
GCCUCUGACGUGCGCGUUUCCUGCAUCGACACACGGUCACGAUCUAUUAUACCCGCUCUCCUAAAGCGGGUGUCGGCAGUUCGAAUCUGCCCGGGGGCG